rnacentral:rRNA from 1 species
GACGAACGCUGGCGGCGUGCUUAACACAUGCAAGUCGAACGGUAAGGCUCCAGCUUGCUGGGGUACACGAGUGGCGAACGGGUGAGUAACACGUGGGUGACCUGCCCUGCACUUCGGGAUAAGCCUGGGAAACUGGGUCUAAUACCGGAUAGGACUGCACCGUGAGGGUGUGGUGGAAAGUUUUUUCGGUGUGGGAUGGGCCCGCGGCCUAUCAGCUUGUUGGUGGGGUAAUGGCCUACCAAGGCGGCGACGGGUAGCCGGCCUGAGAGGGUGGACGGCCACAUUGGGACUGAGACACGGCCCAGACUCCUACGGGAGGCAGCAGUGGGGAAUAUUGCACAAUGGGCGGAAGCCUGAUGCAGCGACGCCGCGUGGGGGAUGACGGCCUUCGGGUUGUAAACUCCUUUCACCAUCGACGAAGGGUUUCUGACGGUAGAUGGAGAAGAAGCACCGGCUAACUACGUGCCAGCAGCCGCGGUAAUACGUAGGGUGCGAGCGUUGUCCGGAAUUACUGGGCGUAAAGAGCUCGUAGGUGGUUUGUCGCGUCGUCUGUGAAAUUCCGGGGCUUAACUCCGGGCGUGCAGGCGAUACGGGCAUAACUUGAGUACUGUAGGGGAGACUGGAAUUCCUGGUGUAGCGGUGAAAUGCGCAGAUAUCAGGAGGAACACCGGUGGCGAAGGCGGGUCUCUGGGCAGUAACUGACGCUGAGGAGCGAAAGCAUGGGGAGCGAACAGGAUUAGAUACCCUGGUAGUCCAUGCCGUAAACGGUGGGCGCUAGGUGUGGGUUUCCUUCCACGGGAUCCGUGCCGUAGCUAACGCAUUAAGCGCCCCGCCUGGGGAGUACGGCCGCAAGGCUAAAACUCAAAGGAAUUGACGGGGGCCCGCACAAGCGGCGGAGCAUGUGGAUUAAUUCGAUGCAACGCGAAGAACCUUACCUGGGCUUGACAUAUACAGGAUCGCGCCAGAGAUGGUGUUUCCCUUGUGGCUUGUAUACAGGUGGUGCAUGGUUGUCGUCAGCUCGUGUCGUGAGAUGUUGGGUUAAGUCCCGCAACGAGCGCAACCCUUGUCUUAUGUUGCCAGCACGUUGUGGUGGGGACUCGUAAGAAACUGCCGGGGUUAACUCGGAGGAAGGUGGGGAUGACGUCAAAUCAUCAUGCCCCUUAUGCCCAGGGCUUCACACAUGCUACAAUGGUCGGUACAGUGGGUUGCCAGUCCGUGAGGGCGAGCUAAUCCCGCAAAGCCGGUCUCAGUUCGGAUCGGGGUCUGCAACUCGACCCCGUGAAGUCGGAGUCGCUAGUAAUCGCAGAUCAGCAACGCUGCGGUGAAUACGUUCCCGGGCCU